rnacentral:rRNA from 1 species
AACGCUAGCUACAGGCUUAACACAUGCAAGUCGAGGGGCAGCAUGGUCUUAGCUUGCUAAGGCCGAUGGCGACUGGCGCACGGGUGAGUAACACGUAUCCAACCUGCCGUCUACUCUUGGACAGCCUUCUGAAAGGAAGAUUAAUACAAGAUGGCAUCAUGAGUCCGCAUGUUCACAUGAUUAAAGGUAUUCCGGUAGACGAUGGGGAUGCGUUCCAUUAGAUAGUAGGCGGGGUAACGGCCCACCUAGUCUUCGAUGGAUAGGGGUUCUGAGGGGAAGGUCCCCACAUUGGAACUGAGACACGGUCCAAACUCCUACGGGAGGCAGCAGUGAGGAAUAUUGGUCAAUGGGCGAGAGCCUGAACCAGCCAAGUAGCGUGAAGGAUGACUGCCCUAUGGGUCGUAAACUUCUUUUAUAAAGGAAUAAAGUCGGGUAUGGAUACCCGUUUGCAUGUACUUUAUGAAUAAGGAUCGGCUAACUCCGUGCCAGCAGCCGCGGUAAUACGGAGGAUCCGAGCGUUAUCCGGAUUUAUUGGGUUUAAAGGGAGCGUAGAUGGAUAUUUAAGUCAGUUGUGAAAGUUUGCGGCUCAACCGUAAAAUUGCAGUUGAUACUGGAUAUCUUGAGUGCAGUUGAGGCAGGCGGAAUUCGUGGUGUAGCGGUGAAAUGCUUAGAUAUCACGAAGAACUCCGAUUG